rnacentral:rRNA from 1 species
GACAGAGGGUGCAAACGUUGUUCGGAAUUACUGGGCGUAAAGCGUGCGCAGGCGGCCUUGCAAGUCGGGCGUGAAAUCCCACGGCUCAACCGUGGAAGUACACUCGAAACUGCUUGGCUAGAGUCUUGGAGAGGAAGGCGGAAUGCUUGGUGUAGAGGUGAAAUUCGUAGAUAUCAAGCGGAACACCGGUGGCGAAGGCGGCCUUCUGGACAAUGACUGACGCUAAAACACGAAAGCGUGGGGAGCAAACAGGAUUAGAUACCCUGGUAGUCCACGCCGUAAACGAUGGGUGCUAGGUGUCACAGGCUUUGACCCUCGUGGUGCCGAAGCUAACGCGUUAAGCACUCCGCCUGGGGAGUACGGCCGCAAGGCUAAA